rnacentral:lncRNA from 10 species
AAAAGAUAGACCACUGAACAGACAAUUAGAAUCUGCUGUGAUAGGUGCUGUGCUAGAGACAGACACAGGGGCUGGGAGAUUAGGGUCCUUGGAGGAAGUGGCAUCUCAGCUGACUGUGAAGACUCGCAGAAGUUAGCAAGUUAAUGGGGAACGGGAGAUCAUGGCAAACAAGGAUGUGCAAACAAGGAGCACAGCUCAGGGGACUCAAUAUGGAGCAGUAGGGCCAAGCAUGGCAUUGCUUGGUAAGUCCAGUCCCAUUCAGGAAGCCUAUUGGAGCUCUAAACCAGUGUCUCCCUCUGUGCUUGGGAGUAAGAGCAGCAUCAGACCAUUGCAAACCUACUGGAUUGGCUGAUACUCAUUGACUGGAUGGAGAUUUCAGAGGCAAACCUAGGCUUCUCCAGAGGAAAGUUCUCAGAAGGCAGUCACAUCUGGACAGCAUUCCUUGACUACGCAUCAAUAUUCCAUCAUGUCAUUGCCGGCUGUGAGGAGGAAAGUGACCUCCUAAACAAAUCCGUGCACGUGUAAAUGACAGCUGCUGGUUUGAAUCUGUUUCUUCUCCCACCACUUCCUCUUCUGAUCAAAGAGCCCACCUUUUCAUUUGGAGGAACCAUUUCUCAACUGGUCUCAUUCUGUGAGGUUUAGAGUUCUCUUUUUGAGGCAGUUCAAGUGGAAAAAGAAAUAACCUAGAAGCAAGUAAAACAACCUUAUUCAAAAACAACAAAAAUCCUUCAGAUUGCAACUUUUUUGAGGGCAUGGACAACAUCUUCUCCUUCUUUGCCUCAAAACAUCUACCUCGUUUAAAAUAAUCCAUUAUAUGAAAAAGAUACUUGCACAUGCAUGUCUAUAGCAGCAAAAUUUGCAAUUGCAAAAACGUGGAACCAACCCAAAUGCCCAUCAAUCAAUGAGAAAGAAACUGUGAUAUAUAUAUAUAUAUAUGAAUGAAUGAUGGAAUACUACUCAGCCAUAAAAAGAAAUGAAUUAAUGGCAUUCACAGUGACCUGAAUGAGACUGGAGACUAUUAUUCUAAGUGAAGUAACUCAGGAAUGGAAAACCAAACAUCAUAUGUUCUCACUAAUAAGUGGGAGAUAAGCCAUGAGGAUGCAAAGGCAUAAGAGUGACACAAUGGACUUUGGGCACUCAGGGAGAAAGGGUGGGAAGGGGAUGAGGGAUAAAAGACUACAAAUAAGGUGCAGUAUAUACUGCUCGGGGGAUAGGUGCACCAAAAUCUCACAAAUCCCCACUAAACAACUUACUCAUGUAACCAAACACCACCUGUUCCCCAAUAACCUAUGGAAAUAAAAAAAUUUAAAAAAACAAAAAACAGAAACAAAAAUCCAUCUACUUCCUUGAUCUCUUGCAUAGAACAGGCACCCGUUUAAUUGGAAAUGAGCAAACUUGUUGCUGAUGUUCCUCAGAUGAUUUGGUUUGACUCCAAGAGACUAUUCACAUCCACCAUCCAUUCAUCCAUCUAUCCACCAUUCAUCUUAUCCAUUUCUUCAUUCACCCACCAUUCAUCCCUCUGUUCACCAUCCAGCCAGCCAUCUAUCACCCAUUCAUCUAUCCCUCUACCAUCCAUUCCUUCCUUCAUUCACCCAGUAAAAGUUCAAUUGUGGGAAAACCUAUAGUUUUUAAAUCCUUUUAUUUUAUGACUGAUAUUAAUUGCUAUAUCCAAAAUGUCAAGAGAGAAUCAGCACAGAAAGUGAAUGUUAGAAAUGGAAUCAGAUGCAGAUGACUGGUCUUGGUAUCUGCCAUUUCCUCCCACCCAGAUGCCCUUUUGUUCUUAGAAGCCAAAGACAGUCAUCUUAGAAACUUUCGGGCAACAAAAUUCGUGCAGCCUUUGGAACUAAGAAUUACUAGUCUCUACUUUCUAAUGGUUUAGUAGUCAAUGGAUAUAUAUAAUUUAAGCCAUUUAAUUUGCUUUCAC